UUUCUUAAUGUAGCUUCAACGUCUGUUUUUGUGUAUCUGUAUAGGUGUUCAUCUCAUUCUGAUUGGUGGAGUCUGUCAGGUGAUUGCUGGCUUGUUGUCCUUCCGCAAAUAUGACCAUCUCAGUGGUACAGCUUUCAUUGGCUAUGCAGCUCUUUGGGGCAGUUAUGGUGCAACAAGAAUAUUCCUGGGAGCAAACCAGCACAAUCCAAGCAUUCCCAUGAAUACCUCAACCAUGAUAAAUAUUACACUCGAGAACCUUCUCUCCAACUCAACGCCCAUCAAUGAAACAUUCGUCCCUAACUACCUCAGUAAAUCUGCCAUAGCUGGGCUGGUGCCUUACACCUUGCUCUCUUUGCUGUUGGCGUUCUGCUCAGCCACAGUGAAUUACAUAAUGCCCUUUGUGUUUGGGGCCAUCACCCUAACGUUAGUCUUUGAAGCUGUGGGACUGGUAACCGGAUGGGCUCUGGUGGUCUCAGGAGUGUUUGAGCUCCUAAUCCUGCUCUUUGCCAUCUAUGGCUCUGCUGCACUGCUCAUCAAGGGAGUGGCCCAACGCUAUGUCCUCAAGGGCUUUGGUAACCCUCUCUUCAAUGUGCUCCUCCUUGGGACAACCAAUGCCAGCAGCUCCCAGAGUGUAGGCCAGGAGAAGAAAAAGAACACCAAAUAUGCUGAACCUAUGGCCUUAGGCUUCUUCUGUGACACAGUCUCAGCAUUCAUCUUCGCCUUCUAUGCCUUUGGUUACUUCCCAUCGAUCACAGUAAGUACCAUGUGGAUAUCCAUCAAUUCAGCUGCCCAGCUCCUGUCCAGUUACUAUGCAUACCUGAGGCAAGAUUGCUACCAUGCCACCAAGUUUGGCCUGCACUGCACCUUCUGGCUUGUGAAGACCUGGGAAGAGUAUGUAGUAUCUGUGGUAAUUGGAAGGAGUGAAGCAACUACCGGACGACAGGCCAUGGUGGGUGACUGGUUCUUCUUGGCAGCAGCUCUGGUGCUCUGUGUCGCAAGCCUGAAUAUGGACACCCUGGAGCUCAUUCACAAUGCCUUCUUCUUCCUCCUAACCAUCUCCACAAUCUCCCAGAUCCCUCUUGAUAGGUAUUACAUCUUUUUCGGAGUGGCUUGUUCCUUCUUCACAGCUCUUUCACUGUAUGGCACAUUUACACGGCUCAUCAACAGCAUUGCCGAGAAGUCUCUGAUUCCUGUUGGACCCCAACCUGUCUCAAAUGAACGACUCCAGAGUGGCCUUGGGUGUCUGAAGAAGAAGUCUCCACAGGAACAACUCCAGGGAAGGGGUUCCCAACUUCCUGACGCUCUGUUUUACCUCACCAAUGGAGUUGCAGCUCUCUCAGCCAUCCACAGCAGCCAGCCCCAACAGAGCUUUCUAGAUAUGACCGUACCCUGGGUGCUCAUCCCAGGGGCCAUCAUCCAGGUAUACGUCAGCCGACUGCAGUUUCAAGGUGGCCAGAGGUUUGGCUCUGUUAUCCCAUCCUUCUAUGU
ensembl:lncRNA